rnacentral:rRNA from 1 species
GUAACAAGGUUUCCGUAGGUGAACCUGCGGAAGGAUCAUUACCAUAUCAAAACUGUCUGGGGGACGCAUGCCGAUGAUGUUUCACACAAUUGUUUUACACAAUGAAACGUCAGGGUCACGUCCCUGUCUAGACCCUUGUUUUUUGCGUACUAUUUGUUUCCUUGGUGGGCUUUGCCUGCCAAAAGGACACUAUAUAACCCUUUGUAAUUGCAAUCAGCGUCAGAAAAACAUAAUAGUUACAACUUUCAACAACGGAUCUCUUGGUUCUGGCAUCGAUGAAGAACGCAGCGAAAUGCGAAAAGUAGUGUGAAUUGCAGAAUUCAGUGAAUCAUCGAAUCUUUGAACGCACAUUGCGCCCCUUGGUAUUCCAUGGGGCAUGCCUGUUCGAGCGUCAUUUGUACCUUCAAGCCCUGCUUGGUGUUGGGUGUUUGUCCCCGUUUUACAUGUGGGACUCGCCUUAAAGUGAUUGGCAGCCGGCGUAUAAGCCUUGGAGCGCAGCACAUUUUGCGUCCCUCGGCCUGAACGUUGGCGUCCAGUAAGCAUAUACUUUUGC